rnacentral:rRNA from 1 species
GACAGAGGAUGCAAGCGUUAUCCGGAAUGAUUGGGCGUAAAGCGUCUGUAGGUGGCUUUUUAAGUCCGCCGUCAAAUCCCAGGGCUCAACCCUGGACAGGCGGUGGAAACUACCAAGCUGGAGUACGGUAGGGGCAGAGGGAAUUUCCGGUGGAGCGGUGAAAUGCGUAGAGAUCGGGAGGAACAUCUGUGGCGAAGGCGACUACCUGGACCAGCACUGACACUGAGGCACGAAAGCGUGGGGAGCAAACAGG